rnacentral:tRNA from 1 species
CCUCCUGUAGCUCAGUGGUGAGAGCAGCAUUCUUAUAAGGUGAAGGUCGGUAGUUCAAUUCUACCCAGGAGGA